UACGUAGGGCGCAAGCGUUGUCCGGAAUUAUUGGGCGUAAAGAGCUCGUAGGUGGUUUGUUACGUCUGCUGUGAAAACCUAGGGCUUAACCCUGGGCCUGCAGUGGAUACGGGCAGACUAGAGGUAGGUAGGGGAGAAUGGAAUUCCCGGUGUAGCGGUGAAAUGCGCAGAUAUCGGGAGGAACACCGGUGGCGAAGGCGGUUCUCUGGCCCGGUACUGACGCUGAGGUGCGAAAGCGUGGGGAGCAAACAGG
rnacentral:rRNA from 1 species